rnacentral:rRNA from 1 species
AUGAUGGCCGGCCGGGCGGGUCGCGUCGAUCGACCGAUCAGGCGCGCACGUCGCCUCCUCCAUGCAUGCAGAUGCAGAUGCAGAGUACGAUCACGGUGCCCCCCGCCCCCGGAGCGUAGCGCGGCGAUAAUUUCCCGCCGGUGUCCGCUAGCGCGCGGGCGUCGGAGCGGAGGACACCUCCCCCGUCGGGGACGGGGAGCGGCAGUAAUCAUGCGGUCCGGCGAACGAAACGACCCCUGCGCGGCCCGGUUUGGUUUGGAUCGAUGGACGGAUGAUGGAUUGAUCGCCCACGGCCGCGUCCAUACGCAUACGCAUGCGCGCCUCUGCUUUCGCGGCCCGUCGCGUUGCGCUUGGCGCCGGGUUGUCCUCUGCAUAUCCGCGGGUCUGCCUGGCCCCGGCCGGCCGGAGGGAGGGAGACGGCGCGCGUCUGGCUGGCCGGGGCGGUCCGUCGAUCAAUCGCGCGCAAUGGACAGGCCGGCCGGGCUGCGGGCAGGGCAGUGCGGGUCGGGUAUUCUCUCUGUCGUGUUUUCGCCUCGCCCCGGCGGUGCCCCGUAUCCCAGGAAAGCGGUUGGUGGAAGGGACAUUUCAGCCUGCACCCUUUCGCCACCCUCUUCAGCCACCGCCUGCCAUUGGUUUCGCCCGUCCGCCGCCGGCGAUUCCGGCCAAAUCUGCGUGCGAAAUUGUGCCGUGGGGGCGCCCCUACCCUCUUCCACCGAGCCGCUUCACUGGCUCCCCCGGAUCCGCCGAUCCGAGCCACCCCUAGUCAUCGUCGCCGCUCAGGAUCCACUGCCCCUAGUCGCCGUCGCCGCCUUGGGAUACACCGCCGCAGAGCCACCACCCGAGCCCCCGAUGGAACUGAGCCUGUGCGAGAAGUUUUUGCUCGAGGAUUCGUCCGAUUCUGACGACUCGGAUGUUGAGACGCUGCUUGUCAACUAUCGACAGCAGACGUUGGUGAUGGCCCUCGCCGUGAAGGAGCACGAAGAUGAGAACCGAAAGAGGUGGCGAGGAUCGAACAUCGCCCGUCUUUGCAUUCCUCAAAAUCGCCAUCUCGGGAACGAGAUGUUGAUGCAAGAUUGCUUCGCAGACAAUCCAACAUAUCUGCCGCACCUCUUCCGGAGAAGGUACCGAAUGCGUCGAUCCCUCUUUGUAAAAAUUGUUCAAGCUUGCGAGGCCAAUUGUCGGUGUUUUACUCAAAGAAGAAAUGUCGCGAGCUUGAAGGGAUUUGGUGCAUAUCAAAAAAUCUCGGCAGCUAUGCGGGUAAUUGCAUACAACAUUCCGGUUGACUAUGCCGAUGAGUACCUUCACAUUGAUGAAGAUACUACAACUGAGUCAGUGCGGUCUGCUAGAGAUGCUCUAAGGGCAUCUCUAACACCGACCCGCAAAUCUCCCAUAUCAAUCCGGACCGUGCUGUCCGGACCGCGGAAACCAUCCAAAGCGGUCCUGCACAGCUGUCCGGCUGUCCCGGUCGAGUCUUUGGCGAUUUACCAGUUCGCUACUUGGGUGGACAUAGGCGAUGGAAGGAGUUGUUUUUUCUGGGAGGGUCAUUGGUUGGCUGGAUGGCGUAUACAUGAGAUUGCACCAGCUGUUUAUGAGAGGAUCGGACCCAAGAUCAGGAAAACAAGAAUGGUAGCAAAGGCUUUGGCUGGAUCAUGGGCAUUGGAUGUUGGGCCAGAUUUAGAUGCAAGGUUGCUUUUGGAAUACCUCAACUUGUGGAACCUACUGGCGGCGGUGGAUUUAACAGAGGGGUCGAGGACAAGGUCAGAUGGGCAUGGGAAUCCUCAUGCCAAUAUAGGUACUAAAGGCAUGUGGCUUGGAGGCCUAGACCCCAACAAUGGAUCACCUGCUCUGUCAUGGUGCAAUUCCCACAUCCUGGUCGCCAAUAUGAAAAAGGAUCUUCUCGCUAUCUUCAGCAUGGUAUUCUCGGAGGUUUAG